rnacentral:rRNA from 1 species
GCGGCGGACGGGUGAGUAAUGCUUAGGAAUCUGCCUAUUAGUGGGGGACAACAUCUCGAAAGGGAUGCUAAUACCGCAUACGUCCUACGGGAGAAAGCAGGGGAUCUUCGGACCUUGCGCUAAUAGAUGAGCCUAAGUCGGAUUAGCUAGUUGGUGGGGUAAAGGCCUACCAAGGCGACGAUCUGUAGCGGGUCUGAGAGGAUGAUCCGCCACACUGGGACUGAGACACGGCCCAGACUCCUACGGGAGGCAGCAGUGGGGAAUAUUGGACAAUGGGGGGAACCCUGAUCCAGCCAUGCCGCGUGUGUGAAGAAGGCCUUAUGGUUGUAAAGCACUUUAAGCGAGGAGGAGGCUACUUUAGUUAAUACCUAGAGAUAGUGGACGUUACUCGCAGAAUAAGCACCGGCUAACUCUGUGCCAGCAGCCGCGGUAAUACAGAGGGUGCGAGCGUUAAUCGGAUUUACUGGGCGUAAAGCGUGCGUAGGCGGCUUAUUAAGUCGGAUGUGAAAUCCCCGAGCUUAACUUGGGAAUUGCAUUCGAUACUGGUGAGCUAGAGUAUGGGAGAGGAUGGUAGAAUUCCAGGUGUAGCGGUGAAAUGCGUAGAGAUCUGGAGGAAUACCGAUGGCGAAGGCAGCCAUCUGGCCUAAUACUGACGCUGAGGUACGAAAGCAUGGGGAGCAAACAGGAUUAGAUACCCUGGUAGUCCAUGCCGUAAACGAUGUCUACUAGCCGUUGGGGCCUUUGAGGCUUUAGUGGCCCACCUAACCCGAUAAAUAAACCGCCUGGGGGAGUACGGUCCCAAAACUAAAACUCCAAUGAAUUGCCGGGGGCCCCCCAAACGGUGGAACAUGGGGUUUA